rnacentral:rRNA from 1 species
UGCAUGUCUAAAUCCAAGCUGUGUUUACACGGCGAGACCGCGGACGGCUCAUUAAAUCAGUCGUGGUCCAAAUGGGCCAGUGCAAAUCCUACUUGGAUAACUGUGGUAAUUCCAGAGCUAAUACAUGCAACUGAUAUCCCGAAGGCGGUGGCUGUGCUUGCUUGUCUUGCGCUGUUCACCGUUCUGACGGAUGCUUUUAUUAGACCAAACCGCUGAGGACUUGAGAGUUCUUCUCUUGUCUGACUCGUGUCAUGGUGACUCUGGAUAACACUUCCUUUCUGACAAGCGCACGUACUCCUCCUGUGAGCGAGACGGCGCUGCCACUUUCGAGUGUCUGCCUUAUCAGCUAUCAACCGUUCGUUAUGCGCGACCGAUGGCUUUGACGGGUAACGGGGAAUCAGGGUUCGAUUCCGGAGAGGCAGCCUGAGAGACGGCUACCACGUCCAAGGACGGCAGCAGGCACGCAAAUUACCCAAUCCCAGCCAAUGGGGGAGGUAGUGACGAAAUCUAACGAUGCGGGCGCCCUUUCUGGGGCCCCGCAAUCGGAAUGGGCACUUUCUAAACAACCUGUUGAGAACCUACUGAAGGGCAAGUCUGGUGCCAGCAGCCGCGGUAAUUCCAGCUUCAGCAGCAUCUAUUAAAGUUGCUGCGGUUAAAAGGCUCGCAGUUGAAUGUCUGUAUCGAGCGCAGGUCAGGUGGACGUUGGGGCGUGGAAGUACGGGCAGUUGGAUGUUUCGUCCGGGGAGUUUUCGAGCUCGUGGUCGUUCGUCCUUCGGCUUUUCCACACACCCCCGUCCGUGACAAGCCUCCUCGCUCGGGUACAUAACAGGAAUCGGUCAAACGGAGUGUGGACGGUGGGUUGUGUUGCUGGGGGGUGGGAGCGUUGCUUCACGGCUUCGUUCUUGCUUCUCUCUUCGCGGCUCGCCUCUGCGUUAAGCUCCAUCGGUUUCACGGUCACCUUGAGUAAAUCAGAGUGCUCAAAGCAGUCGUAAGGGCCUUGCGCCCUGUGAACAGUCUUGACGGACUGACUUGGUUUUGCAUGGCAUGUCGGAAGACGACGUCGUGUGCUGGCUCAGAGGAGAUAAAUCAGUGGUGCAAGCCAGCCGCGACGUAAUGAUUAAAAGGGACGGUCGAGGGCAUUGGUAUUGCGAGGCGAGAGGUGAAAUUCUGUGACCCCCGCAAGACCUCCUGAAGCGAAAGCGUCUGCCAAGGACGUUUUCAUUAAUCAUGAACGAAAGUUAGAGGAUCGAAGGCGAUCAGAUACCGCCCUAGUUCUAACCCUAAACGAUGCCAACCAUCAAUCCGCGCGUAGCACCCUUCUUAACGGGCUCGGCGGGCAGCUCCCCACUCACGGGAAACCAGAGUCUCUGGGUUCCGGGGGGAGUCUGGUUGCAAAGCUGAAACUUAAAGGAAUUGACGGAAAGGCACCACCAGGCGUGGAGCCUGCGGCUUAAUUUGACUCAACACGGGCCAUCUCACCAGGCCAGCACUCUUGUACGAUUGACAGAUUGAGAGCU